UACGGGGGGGGCAAGCGUUACUCGGAAUUACUGGGCGUAAGCGUGCGUAGGUGGUUCGUUAAGUCUGAUGUGAAAGCCCUGGGCUCAACCUGGGAAUGGCAUUGGAAACUGGCGACCUAGAGUGCGGUAGAGGGUAGUGGAAUUCCCGGUGUAGCAGUGAAAUGCGUAGAGAUCGGGAGGAACAUCCGUGGCGAAGGCGACUACCUGGACCAGCACUGACACUGAGGCACGAAAGCGUGGGGAGCAAACAGG
rnacentral:rRNA from 1 species